AGUUGUCGGUAGGUCUGCUCUAGAACUUUCUCCAGUUGUCGGUAGGUCUGCUCUAGAACUUUCUCCAGUUGUCGGUAGGUCUGCUCUAGAACUUUCUCCAGUUGUCGGUAGGUCUGCUCUAGAACUUUCUCCAGCUGUCGGUAGGUCUGCUCUAGAACUUUCUCCAGCUGUCGGUAGGUCUACUCUAGAACUUUCUCCAGCUGUCGGUAGGUCUGCUCUAGAACUUUCUCCAGCUGUCGGUAGGUCUGCUCUAGAACUUUCUCCAGUUGUCGGUAGGUCUGCUCUAGAACUUUCUCCAGUUGUCGGUAGGUCUGCUCUAGAACUUUCUCCAGCUGUCGGUAGGUCUACUCUAGAACUUUCUCCAGCUGUCGGUAGGUCUACUCUAGAACUUUCUCCAGCUGUCGGUAGGUCUACUCUAGAACUUUCUCCAGUUGUCGGUAGGUCUGCUCUAGAACUUUCUCCAGUUGU